UCGAACGGCAGCACGGACUUCGGUCUGGUGGCGAGUGGCGAACGGGUGAGUAAUAUAUCGGAACGUAUCCAUAAUGGGGGAUAACUAAUCGAAAGGUUGGCUAAUACCGCAUACGCCCUACGGGGGAAAGCUAGGGAUCUUCGGACCUGGCGUUAAUGGAGCGGCCGAUAUCUGAUUAGCUAGUUGGUGGGGUAAAGGCCCACCAAGGCGACGAUCAGUAGCUGGUCUGAGAGGACGACCAGCCACACUGGAACUGAGACACGGUCCAGACUCCUACGGGAGGCAGCAGUGGGGAAUUUUGGACAAUGGGCGCAAGCCUGAUCCAGCCAUUCCGCGUGAGUGAGGAAGGCCUUCGGGUUGUAAAGCUCUUUCGCAAGGGAAGAAAACUUAUCCUCUAACAUAGGAUGAGGUUGACGGUACCUUGAUAAGAAGCACCGGCUAACUCCGUG
rnacentral:rRNA from 1 species